rnacentral:rRNA from 1 species
UACGUAGGGGGCUAGCGUUGUCCGGAAUCAUUGGGCGUAAAGAGCGUGUAGGCGGCCUGGUAAGUCCGCUGUGAAAGUCCAGGGCUCAACCCUGGAAUGCCGGUGGAAACUGUCAGGCUCGAGUCCGGAAGAGGCGAGUGGAAUUCCUGGUGUAGCGGUGGAAUGCGCAGAUAUCAGGAGGAACACCAACGGCGAAGGCAGCUCGCUGGGACGGUACUGACGCUAAGGCGCGAAAGCGUGGGGAGCGAACAGG